UGGGGAAUCUUGGACAAUGGGGGCAACCCUGAUCCAGCCAUGCCGCGUGAGUGAUGAAGGCCUUAGGGUCGUAAAGCUCUUUCGCCUGUGAAGAUAAUGACGGUAGCAGGUAAAGAAACCCCGGCUAACUCCGUGCCAGCAGCCGCGGUAAUACGGAGGGGGUUAGCGUUGUUCGGAAUUACUGGGCGUAAAGCGCACGUAGGCGGACCAGAAAGUUGGGGGUGAAAUCCCGGGGGCUCAACCCCGGAACUGCCUCCAAAACUAUUGGUCUAGAGUUCGAGAGAGGUGAGUGGAAUUCCAAGUGUAGAGGUGAAAUUCGUAGAUAUUUGGAGGAACACCAGUGGCGAAGGCGGCUCACUGGCUCGAUACUGACGCUGAGGUGCGAAAGUGUGGGGAGCAAACAGGAUUAGAUACCCUGGUAGUCCACACCGUAAAACGAUGAAUGCCAGUCGUCGGGUAGCAUGCUAUUCGGUGACACACCUAACGGAUUAAACAUUCC
rnacentral:rRNA from 1 species